rnacentral:rRNA from 2 species
CGCAGCUAACUGCGUGUUGUCAUGUGAACUGCAGGACACAUGAACAUCGACAAGUUGAACGCAUAUCGCACUUCUUGCUUU